AUGCUCAACUUAGGCAGCACAUAUUGGAACAAUACAGAGAUUAGCAUGCCUCUGUGCAAAGAUGACAUGUAAAUUCAUGAAGCGUUUCAUAUUUUA
rnacentral:snRNA from 1 species